GACGAACGCUGGCGGCGUGCUUAACACAUGCAAGUCGAACGGAGUGGCGAACGGGUGAGUAACGCGUGGGUGCUCGUCCUUGCACUUCGGGUUAAGCUUGGGAAACUGGUUCUAAUACCGGCUAGUGAAAGAUGAGCUCGCGGCCUAUCAGCUUGUUGGUGGGGUAAUGGGCUACCAAGGCGUCGACGGGUAGCCGGCCUGAGGGGGUACGGCCACAUUGGGCCUGCGAGAGGGACCAGACGCCUACGGGAGGCAGCAGUGGGGAAUAUUGCGCAAUGGGCGGACGCGUGAUGCAGAGACGCCGCGUGGGGGAUGAAGGCCUUCGGGUUGUAAACUCCUUUCGUAAGGGACGCGGUACCUGUAUAAGAAGCACCGGCUAACUACGUGCCAGCAGCCGCGGUAAUUC
rnacentral:rRNA from 1 species